rnacentral:rRNA from 1 species
UACGGAGGAUGCAAGCGUUAUCCGGAAUCAUUGGGCGUAAAGCGUCUGUAGGUGGUUUUGUAAGUCCGCUGUAAAAGAGUACAGCUUAACUGUAUAUGGGCAGUGGAAACUACAAGACUGGAGUGUGGUAGGGGUAGAGGGAAUUCCCGGUGUAGCGGUGAAAUGCGUAGAUAUCGGGAAGAACACCAAUGGCGAAAGCACUCUACUGGGCCAACACUGACACUGAGAGACGAAAGCUAAGGGAGCGAAAAGGAUUAGAUACCCUUGUAGUCUUAGCCGUAAACGAUGGAUACUAAGUGGUGCGCGUAUUCAUGCCUGCACUGCUGUAGCUAACGCGUUAAGUAUCCCGCCUGGGGAGUAUGCUCGCAAGGGUGAAACUCAAAGGAAUUGACGGGGGCCCGCACAAGCGGUGGAGCAUGUGGUUUAAUUCGAUGCAACGCGAAGAACCUUACCAGGGCUUGACAUGCCACGAAUCUUUCAGAGAUGAGAGAGUGCCUUCGGGAACGUGGACACAGGUGGUGCACGGCUGUCGUCAGCUCGUGUCGUGAGAUGUUGGGUUAAGUCCCGCAACGAGCGCAACCCUUAUCUUUAGUUAAAAACAACUCUAGAGAGACUGCCAGUGAUAAACUGGAGGAAGGUGAGGAUGACGUCAAGUCAGCAUGCCCCUUACGCCCUGGGCUACACACGUGCUACAAUGGUUGGGACAAAGAGAUGCAAACUCGCGAGAGCAAGCUAACCUCAAAAACCUAAUCUCAGUUCGGAUUGCAGGCUGCAACUCGCCUGCAUGAAGGUGGAAUCGCUAGUAAUCGCAGGUCAGCCAUACUGCGGUGAAUUCGUUCCCGGGCCU